UUACACACACAUAACAAAAAAUAGAACCCUUUUUAUUAGGCAUGUAAGGAGGUAGGGUGAAGAGUCCAACAACAUUUGGACUCUUCCAUGAGAUAUCACCUCCCUUCACAAUUCCAUGCCAAUACACACCACAAAAAAUAUGGGAUGCCUCCUUUCUUAUUUUUCCAUGGUAGAACCAGAUCUUAUCUAAUUUUUCAUGAAAAAUCUCCUUA
rnacentral:lncRNA from 1 species